GGGUCUGUAGCUCAGUUGGUCAGAGCGCACCCCUGAUAAGGGUGAGGUCGGUGGUUCAAAUCCACCCAGACCCA
rnacentral:tRNA from 1 species